rnacentral:rRNA from 1 species
GGAUGAACGCUGGCGGCGUGCUCAACACAUGCAAGUCGAACGGAGUACCCCUGAAGGAGUUUUCGGACAACUGAUGGGACUACUUAGUGGCGGACGGGUGAGUAACGCGUGAGUAACCUGCCUUGGAGUGGGGAAUAACAGCUGGAAACAGCUGCUAAUACCGCAUAAUAUGUCUGUGUCGCAUGGCACUGGACAUCAAAGAUUUAUCGCUCUGAGAUGGACUCGCGUCUGAUUAGCUAGUUGGCGGGGUAACGGCCCACCAAGGCGACGAUCAGUAGCCGGACUGAGAGGUUGGCCGGCCACAUUGGGACUGAGACACGGCCCAGACUCCUACGGGAGGCAGCAGUGGGGAAUAUUGGGCAAUGGGCGCAAGCCUGACCCAGCAACGCCGCGUGAAGGAAGAAGGCUUUCGGGUUGUAAACUUCUUUUCUCAGGGACGAAGCAAGUGACGGUACCUGAGGAAUAAGCCACGGCUAACUACGUGCCAGCAGCCGCGGUAAUACGUAGGUGGCAAGCGUUAUCCGGAUUUACUGGGUGUAAAGGGCGUGUAGGCGGGACUGCAAGUCAGAUGUGAAAACCACGGGCUCAACCUGUGGCCUGCAUUUGAAACUGUAGUUCUUGAGUACUGGAGAGGCAGACGGAAUUCCUAGUGUAGCGGUGAAAUGCGUAGAUAUUAGGAGGAACACCAGUGGCGAAGGCGGUCUGCUGGACAGCAACUGACGCUGAGGCGCGAAAGCGUGGGGAGCAAACAGGAUUAGAUACCCUGGUAGUCCACGCUGUAAA